AUUGAACGCUGGCGGCAUGCCUUACACAUGCAAGUCGAACGGUAACAGGUCUUCGGAUGCUGACGAGUGGCGAACGGGUGAGUAAUACAUCGGAACGUGCCUAGUAGUGGGGGAUAACUACUCGAAAGAGUGGCUAAUACCGCAUGAGAUCUACGGAUGAAAGCAGGGGAUCGCAAGACCUUGUGCUACUAGAGCGGCCGAUGGCAGAUUAGGUAGUUGGUGGGAUAAAAGCUUACCAAGCCGACGAUCUGUAGCUGGUCUGAGAGGACGAUCAGCCACACUGGGACUGAGACACGGCCCAGACUCCUACGGGAGGCAGCAGUGGGGAAUUUUGGACAAUGGGCGCAAGCCUGAUCCAGCAAUGCCGCGUGCAGGAUGAAGGCCUUCGGGUUGUAAACUGCUUUUGUACGGAACGAAAAGCCCUGGGUUAAUACCCUGGGGUCAUGACGGUACCGUAAGAAUAAGCACCGGCUAACUACGUGCCAGCAGCCGCCGCGGUAA
rnacentral:rRNA from 1 species